GCAACGUAGCAGGGCGGACACUAGAGACUGAAGAGCCCAGGAUUCUAAUUCUGGCUCCGUCACUAACUAGCUGUGUGAUCCCGGGUAAACCUCUCCACAUCUCUAGAGACCAGAUUCCAGGGGUCUUCACUGUAAAAGGGAGGGGCUUUAGAGGAUUGGCCUCUAAGAGCCCUGCAAUGAUGCCAGUGUUCUUCCCACUAAUGCAUUUCUCUGGUGAAGGCAGUGUCCUCUGGAUCCUACCAAGGAACAUCAUGAGGCAGUUUUACCUUAUGAAACGGGUUGGAAUCCUCCACUAAAGAUUUUACUGCGUAAUAAGGGAGAACUGAAGGAUAUCAUUGGAAGCGAUGGGAAGCAAUGGUAUGACUUGGGAAACUGACCAUACCUACUAGAGCUGAUCAUAAUCAUAUGAGCAUGUGAUGACCUCACGAAGCUGUUCCCAGGAACACACCCAGUGGGCAGUUUUUUGGGUAUGUCUGCUCUCUAAAACCAUAUGCUAGGGUGUUAAUAACAGAACUAUCUAUAAUAGCCAAAUAACAGAAACAACCUAAAUGGCCAUGAGCAAUGAAAUUGACAGGUUAGA